UACGUAGGGGGCUAGCGUUGUCCGGAAUCAUUGGGCGUAAAGCGCGUGUAGGCGGCCCGGUAAGUCCGCUGUGAAAGUCGGGGGCUCAACCCUCGGAUGCCGGUGGAUACUGUCGGGCUGGAGUGCGGAAGAGGCGAGUGGAAUUCCCGGUGUAGCGGUGAAAUGCGCAGAUAUCGGGAGGAACACCAGUAGCGAAGGCGGCUCGCUGGGCCAUUCCUGACGCUGAGACGCGAAAGCUAGGGGAGCGAACAGG
rnacentral:rRNA from 1 species